GUAGGUGGCAAGCGUUGUCCGGAAUUAUUGGGCGUAAAGCGCGCGCAGGGCGGUCCUUUAAGUCUGAUGUGAAAGCCCACGGCUCAACCGUGGAGGGUCAUUGGAAACUGGGGGACUUGAGUACAGAAGAGGAAAGCGGAAUUCCAAGUGUAGCGGUGAAAUGCGUAGAGAUUUGGAGGAACACCAGUGGCGAAGGCGGCUUUCUGGUCUGUAACUGACGCUGAGGCGCGAAAGCGUGGGGAGCAAACAGGAUUAGAUACCCUGGUAGUCCACGCCGUAAACGAUGAGUGCUAAGUGUUAGGGGGUUUCCGCCCCUUAGCGCUGCAGCUAACGCAUUAAGCACUCCGCCUGGGGAGUACGGCCGCAAGGCUG
rnacentral:rRNA from 1 species